rnacentral:rRNA from 1 species
GUGAGGAAUUUUCCGCAAUGGGCGAAAGCCUGACGGAGCAAUGCCGCGUGAAGGAUGAAGGCCUAUGGGUUGUAAACUUCUUUUCUCAGAAAAGAAUUAUGACGGUAUCUGAGGAAUAAGCAUCGGCUAACUCUGUGCCAGCAGCCGCGGUAAGACAGAGGAUGCAAGCGUUAUCCGGAAUGAUUGGGCGUAAAGCGUCUGUAGGUUGUUUAAAAAGUAUUCUGUCAAAGAUUAGGGCUUAACCCUAGAUAGGCAGAAUAAACUUUUAAGCUAGAGUUUGGUAGAGGCAGAGGGAAUUCCCGGUGGAGCGGUGAAAUGCGUAGAUAGCGGGAGGAACACCAAAGGCGAAGGCACUCUGCUGGGCCAAUACUAACACUGAGAGACGAAAGCGAGGGGAGCAAAUGGGAUUAGAUACCCUAGUAGUCC